CUAAUGGGGCUGCUCUGAAAUGCUCAACACCUGUGGGGAGGCCACUUCCCUGGAGAACAGGCUUCUGAAAGUAAUCCCCUUCCCUGCAGGAAAGGCUUCCUGGAAACAACUGGAACCACUCUGUAGAGAAAAAACAUUUACUAGAUAUUGCAGCUGGGCUGUCAGAGGAGUUUAAUUCCCAAGUAUGGAGAAUUGACUUGAGGAUGAAAUAGAAGCAGAACAGAGAGUUAAGUCAGGUGCCGGGUUGUGCUGUGGCUUUUACCAAGGCUUUGUGCACUGUGAUUUCUCCCAGUGCCUUGAGACUGGCAUUUCUGGAGAAGUAAAAAUUAGUCAUUCAGAGAACAGAACUAAAAUUUCAGACCGUAUAAGCUGUCACCAGUGAUCUUUAUCAUUGCAGACCUGAGUCCUGUAACAAAAUGCUUUAUUCCCUCUGUGGUUAUUAAAAUUUCAUUGCUCCAAAUGACACUUCCCUUUUCUGGCUCCCCUGGGGAAUCAACUCUAUUUGACUUCAUGGUCAGUGGUCAGCUGGAUGGCUAUGUUUUCUGAUGUCUACUUAUUCAGAUUUUUCUUUCCUGCUGCCUGAAAGCAAGGCUUAACAUGGGCACAAACUGCCCUGGUGCAGAGGAAGUGAUUAGGAACAUAGAGAAACCACCCUGCUCCUAACAGCAGUGAAAUAUUUUCAAGGAAUUGACCUUGGAGUUUCUGCCAGUUGGAAACCAUGGUAACCACUACUUGCCCCCGGAAAAUUAUUUCUCCUCACAGCAUCCCUGUCAAUCAGCGCAGGCUUCCUCCAAACUUCAAAGCUGUGAUCCUAAAAAAGGAUAUCGCAGCUAAAACCUAUGAUUCAAAAAUGUGGAUGACCCUUGGUAUUUGAGACCUAGAGAGGCACCAGUUCUUCAUGCUCCAACUCAGAGGCCCUAGGCUAUCUUCACACUGGAGUAGUGACUUGGACAGCAACAGAAGCCUAUCAGAUGACAGAAGUAAAUCAGCCAUGACCUGCAGAAAGACAGCAAAACCUUGGUCUGUAGAUUACAGUGUCUACAGCACACGCUGCAAAAAGUAAACAUCAAAUGC
rnacentral:lncRNA from 1 species